GCCUUAGAAGUUCUUAAUGUUCUAUUCCAUUACAGCCAUGUUUGAACACGAUGUUCAAACAAACCGCCACUGAGCCAUGGAUGGCGAAUUGGCGGUGGUGGCGUACAGAUAUAUUAUGUAAAUUAGAACAUUUAGAACUUCUUAGGUUC
rnacentral:ncRNA from 1 species